AGAGUUUGAUCCUGGCUCAGGAUAAACGCUGGCGGCGUGCCUAACACAUGCAAGUCGAACGCUCUGAGUAAUCUAAUUAUUCAGAGAGUGGCGGACGGGUGAGGAACACGUGGGUAUCUGCCUUCGGGUGAGGAAUACCAGCGAGAAAUCGCUGACAAUACCGCAUAGCCUCGGCAACGAGGAAAGUCGCAAGACGCCUG
rnacentral:rRNA from 1 species